rnacentral:misc_RNA from 1 species
AAUUCUCAACCGCUCUCGGUUUGUCUUUCAAACUGAAGAGUCGUGUUGGAUCGUGGGGGUCAAUCCUUUGCCGGCUGUUCGCGGUCGGCUCCCCUCAAAUGCAUUAGCGACCGUCCUCUGCUGGAUCGUGCACUCGGUGUGAUAGUUCAUCUACGCCGUCGUUGCCAUCCCGGGGCCACUGUGGCCUCAAGGAGGUGAUCAGAAAAGCUUUGCCGCUAACAAAUAGUCCCUAUAUGCGCGCAUAUAUGCACUCAUUUCAUUCGGGACAGCGCUUCGGCGCUCAUCGAUCAUG